CAAAGUAACAGCAUUGAACGGUCAUCGGUUGCAGCUUGCAAGCCGAGGCUGAUUCCUAAGGCGUCGUUGAUGCGUGCCUCGGCCAGGAGGCCUCGCCGGCAACCAGCGCCGGAGGAAGUAGCGCUACGCGCCCGCGUCGCGCGGCGUCGGCGCUUCCACCGCGGAGGUCGCCCCCGAGUGGCCGAGAACACGAGGCUAGAGUUGACGACGAGGCGAACGGUGUCGGAAGUCGUGCAUGCGGGCUCA
rnacentral:lncRNA from 1 species